AUGGAGGUAGGGACUAGUGGGCGGAGGGUGGGAGCCAGAGGCGCCAUGUGCUGGUUUGCCUCUGGGGUCAGUGGCCUGCGUGGUGGGGUUACAGAGAUGCUCCUCCCUGGGGGAGACACACCCCCUCACGCACACCACGGGCCGUCUCCCUGCCAGACACGCAGGGACAUCCCCCCCCAGCACUCCACCCAUGCCCAGAACAGAACACCCAGCCAGAUUUCCCAGUCUGACCUUUGCCCAGCGUGGCCUAGAAUCACCCAGGCCAUCAGGAGGAACCAAGGGGGCCAGUGGAAGCCCAGGCUGCCGUUUGUCUCCCAUCCCUGCCUUGUUGGUGUGGGGGGGGUCUGGCUGGGUGUCUGCUUUCCUGCUGUGGGAUGGACUGGGCUGGGGACGGGGUUCCCAUGUCAUCUUCCUUGGCCCUUCCCCUCCUUCUUCCCAAGUGGCUGGGAUGUCUCACGGGCCCACGUCCCCCGCUCUCCAGCACAGGCUCCGUACCUGCUGAUUGCCAGUGGGCCUCUCCUGUCCUGGAUGUGCUGCAGGCUUCCCCCAGGACCUGGCCUGCACCCAGCUAGGGUUGCCAGCCCCCCUUCCACAGGUGCUGGACCUGGAGGCAACUCCUUAGUAAACAUGCUGCCCACUGAACGCCAUCGGCCCCCCAGGAAGCCACGCCUGGGGACUCAACUGUCCGGACAGCGCAGAGCACGAAGAAGACUCACAACCAAUGCCUGCUAAGAAGAACUCUCUGGGGCAGGCACUGCCACGCCCCGCGCUGCACAAAUAACAGGCUAAUAAGACCAGCUUGCGUUUACUCAGGUGAAACUAUUUGACAUGCUCUCUCUUGGUCCUUCUGAGAUGGGCAGGUUUGUUUGUUUGUUUUUUGGUUUCUUGUCCUUUUAAGGUUGCACCCGAGGCAUAUGGAGGUUCCCAGGCUAGGGGUUGAAUCAGAGCUGUAGCUGCCAUCCUACACCACAGCCACAGCCACGCCAGAUCCGAGCCGCGUCUGCAACCUACACCACAGCCCAUGGCAACAUCAGAUCCUUAACCCACUGAGCAAAGCCAGGGAUUGAACUCGCAACCUCAUGGUUCCUAGUUGGGUUCGUUUCCACUGCGCCAUGACGGGAACUCCUGAUGUGGGCAUUUCUAUAUUCUGCACUCUCAGACAAAGAGAUGAAAGACACGGGGACCCAGGGCUAGCAAGGAGAGUAGGAUUUGGACCCAGAGAAUCUGAUGCUCAAACUACCCUCUUAGCAGCACUUGUGGAAGGAAACUGAGGCUUAGCCAGGGAAAGGAGCUCGCCCCUUGCCAGCCAGUGAGUCCUUGCUUGAACAGAGAGCUGCUGACCUGAAAAUGCUUCUAGGGAGUCCUCUCUUAACAGUUUUGUUUUGUUUUGUCUUUCUAGGGCCACAUCCGCAGCAUCAGGAGGUUCCCAGGCUAGGGGUUGAAUCAGAGCUACAGCUGCCAGCCUACGCCACAGCCACAGCAACGUGGGAUCUGAGCCGCAUCUGUGAUCUACACUACAGCUCACCGCAACACUGGAUCCCCAACCCACUGAGCGAGGCCAGGGAUCAAACCUGCAUGUUCAUGGAUACUAGUCAGUUUCAAAACCCGCCAAGCCAUGGCGGGAAGUCCGUAGGGAGUCCUCUUUUAGAGGGAAGCUUGGAUGUAGAAAGCACCGAGCCAAUCGGACAGGUUGGGGACACGGGCCGUUCUAAGACUUGGAAUGUGCUCCCUGGCCCUCCCCUGCCUGCCUGUGGCUUGUCUCAUGAGGUCUACACAGCAGCCAAAACCCGGCUUCGAAGUGACUCCUCUGAGAAGCCUUCCCCAGCCUCUGCUCCCCACACCCUGACUUCACCCCCACCAAGAUCCUGAAAGGGGACUGGAGGAUCCCCUCUGAGCCAGAGGAUGGAAGUGCCAGGGCAGGGCUGGCCGCACUGAGCAGGGCACGCAGCAGAAUGAAUAAAGGGCAGAAUGAUAGCA
rnacentral:lncRNA from 1 species